CUGUUAUUUAUGACCGUUGUUGUGCGAUGGGGUUCAUACCUUUAUCUGCCAAAACGGGACCUCUGUUGAGGUAUAACCAAUAUUCCGUACUAAGGAUUUCGGUCCGGAACGUCUAGAGACUACACGGCAGACCAAUUUUGUGGUGGUAUGAAUGGAUAGUCCCUAGUUACCAUCUAGGCAUCCCAUACAAAAUGGUUA
rnacentral:autocatalytically_spliced_intron from 15 species